GCACUUGAAGUCAGCCAUGCUGCUUGAGACUCAGCCUGGCUUUUGCUUGGUGUAUUUCUCGGUAGCAAGCCAGCAUUGGUUUGUGUCGUCGGAGAAGCGUAUGGGGAAUGUGGCAUCCUCGGAUGUGUUAUAGCCCUGUGCAGGAUACGACGGCGUAGACCAAGGAACGCAGUGUGCCCUCUGGGCGGGUCUUCGGACACCUUCACACUUAGGAUGCUGGCGUAAUGGCUUUAAGUGGCCCGUCUUGAAACACGGACCAAG
rnacentral:rRNA from 1 species